rnacentral:lncRNA from 1 species
CCAUUUAACUUCAUACAAAUUUAAUUAAUCUACUGUUUACCCUUUCUUCUACAUCAUUAGUAAAAAUAAUAAAAGAAAUUGCUCAGGAGGAAGAGGCCAGCCACAUUCCUCUCCCUACCCCUGCAGCCAGUGGUCUCCAAAGAGAGCCCCGGGAGGAAAGCUCCAGGCCUGGUGAUCCCACCCACUCUCUCCCAACCUAAUGUGACUCUAGUGAAACCCAAGCCAGAAAGGAUUUCCCUCACCAGGUUCCAAUUUAAUAUCUUUAAUAUCCACUUAGUGUCGGGGCACCUGGUUGCUAUGGAGAUCGUUGUCAUAAAAAACUCACAGGACUGUUAGAGAGAUGGGAAACAGCUCCCUGCAGUCCGGAACUGCCCACAUUUGCUCAGAGAAAUAUCUUGCUACUUAUCACAGCUCUUUGUUUACUGGACCUAUAGGCUUCAGAUUCAAUCUGCUGGGCUCUACUCAUAAGCAGGCAAAUAGAAAUUUAUUUCCAGUUACUCUUCUGCGAUCACGCAGCCAAAAGCUUCACCAAAUGUCAGAUGGCCACAGUCUUCCCUUUCUCUCCUACCAAAGUCGGCCAAGGACAAAAUGACCGUCCUUGCUGACCGAGAUGUGUUCUUUACUGACCAUCAUUGAUCCCCACCGCUCGGAAAAUGGGAUAAAAAUACUCCCUGGCCUCCAAUACUGUCUCCAACAAGGGAUAGGGCUACAAGACACUGGGAGCAAGAAGGAGGAUGAAAGACAGGUACACAGUGGAGACUCCAUUAGAGACGCCAUAUCUGCCUCUUCUGAAAUGACUGCCAGAGGCCCUCUCAGCCAGAGGGGUGAAGCAGCUGACAGGAAAUUCGUAUCCCUUUCUGCAACCCUGCAAAAGGCUUACAAACAACUUUUUUUUUUCUUUUGUAUUUUCCCACUAAAGAUUAAAAUUGGGCCUCUGGAAAAGUCUUCUCUCCUUUAUUGGAAAGAUCAAAACUAUCAUUUCCUCACUUUCCAAAUGAAAGUUAUAUUUGGUUUCCUUCCUUAGGCUGGAAGAUGUCCUAGAAGAAUACAGAAAAUGAACCUUCCUUUGCCACUGAGUUGGUAUUUGAGCUUAACAAUUCUGAGGUCUCUUCCAGUUUCCAGUGACUCAGUUUUCUUUUAAUUCAGAUAAAAACUAUGACACCUUCUCUAUCUGGGAAGGAUUUUGAACACCUUCAAAGUCAUCCCCAAAGGUACAAGAUAUAAAAAUGACCAGCUCUUUAGUGCCCUCUUUAUUCUUGAUAGCUUUUCCCAGAAAUAAUUGAAUGUAGACCUACAAGUUCAUUAGCUAAUUCCUUUAAAGGCUUUGGGAUAGGUGCUAUUUAGGCCCAAUUUCAAUCGCCACAAUUACAGAAUCUUUACUAUUUCCCAAUUGUUCAUGCCCCUUAUCUACAUUUUUCUUGUUAAUGAUCAAUUUUUAAAAGCCACUAAAAAGGCUCAGUCAUUUUAGAGUUAUCUUAGCUUUUUGCUUCCGGUCUUAUUUAUUAAUGGAUCUACUUUCUUUCUCCUCUUGAAAAAAACUCCCAGCAUGUUUAUAAAAACACUCCCCACUUCCCUUGGUUCAUUU